AGAAGUGAAGGAUCGCUGCCGGACAGUUCCGCCUCGCUUCCGCCAUGUCGUCGUCUUCUCCAAAGAGUGCCCCGUCGGAGGUGCCGGUUGGAGUCCCGGCGGGAUCGACAAGAGGACUGACGUCCCACUAGCACGGCGCAUGCGGGUGGAGCGUCGCCCCUGGCGCCCUCCCCUCCUCUUCCUCCUCCUCCUUCGCCACCCGUGAUGGUUUAUUAACCCAGAAGACGCCAGCUUCCGAUUGGCUCCUCUCCUUUCCCCUCCAUCUCCCUCCCCUCCCCCGACCCGCAACCCCACCUCAAGUUUCGUCCGUGUUGGGAUUUGUAUGGAAUCGACGUAAUCGUGGAGAGGCCGGGGUAUCACAAACUUAUGGAUUUUGAUAAGAGAGGAGGGAAAGGGGAAAGCGAGGAAAGCAAAAGGAUGUCUAAGACAGGUGGAGGCCGGGGCACUCAUGGGAGCCGAACGGCCGGGACCAACUCUGGAGUCUUAAUGGUGGGACCCAACUUCCGGGUCGGGAAGAAGAUUGGCUGCGGCAACUUUGGGGAGCUUCGGCUGGGUGAGUCAAUAACCUCAUAUAAUUAUACCCCAAGGAAUAUGUAGAUAAAGCUGUAAC